rnacentral:rRNA from 1 species
UGAAGAUGCAGUGUACCCGCGGCAAGACGGAAAGACCCCGUGAACCUUUACUAUAGCUUGACACUGAACAUUGAGCCUUGAUGUGUAGGAUAGGUGGGAGGCUUUGAAGUGUGGACGCCAGUCUGCAUGGAGCCGACCUUGAAAUACCACCCUUUAAUGUUUGAUGUUCUAACGUUGGCCCGUAAUCCGGGUUGCGGACAGUGUCUGGUGGGUAGUUUGACUGGGGCGGUCUCCUCCUAAAGAGUAACGGAGGAGCACGAAGGUUGGCUAAUCCUGGUCGGACAUCAGGAGGUUAGUGCAAUGGCAUAAGCCAGCUUGACUGCGAGCGUGACGGCGCGAGCAGGUGCGAAAGCAGGUCAUAGUGAUCCGGUGGUUCUGAAUGGAAGGGCCAUCGCUCAACGGAUAAAAGGUACUCCGGGGAUAACAGGCUGAUACCGCCCAAGAGUUCAUAUCGACGGCGGUGUUUGGCACCUCGAUGUCGGCUCAUCACAUCCUGGGGCUGAAGUAGGUCCCAAGGGUAUGGCUGUUCGCCAUUUAAAGUGGUACGCGAGCUGGGUUUAGAACGUCGUGAGACAGUUCGGUCCCUAUCUGCCGUGGGCGCUGGAGAACUGAGGGGGGCUGCUCCUAGUACGAGAGGACCGGAGUGGACGCAUCACUGGUGUUCGGGUUGUCAUGCCAAUGGCACUGCCCGGUAGCUAAAUGCGGAAGAGAUAAGUGCUGAAAGCAUCUAAGCACGAAACUUGCCCCGAGAUGAGUUCUCCCUGACUCCUUGAGGGUCCUGAAGGAACGUUGAAGACGACGACGUUGAUAGGCCGGGUGUGUAAGCGCAGCGAUGCGUUGAGCUAACCGGUACUAAUGAACCGUGAGGCUUAACCUUACAACGCCGAAG